GGAGCCACGGUCGCUGUUUGCUGCUGUGGCAUCAUCAAGAUUCACAUCUGUUGAUGGACGGUGGUGAUUCGCUCUCCCCAAAGUUCUCUAUGAAAAUGAGAAUCUUGAUGAUGCUGCAUCGGCAAUCAACGGCUAUUCUUUUUCUCUCC
rnacentral:pre_miRNA from 1 species